AGGAUCUGCUUCAGAAACUGGUUGGUCGUCAGUUUCUGAGGUGUUCGUCUUUUCUCAUGUUGGUGGCUGAGUAAAUGUGGAUGAGAAGGCAGGUGUCCGCUUCUUGGGAGCUGGACGUGUAGGCCCUGGACUCGUGGGCCCCUUCCGGGCGAGGAAGGCCUCCUCCUCCGCCUCUCUCUGCUUCAUCCCGGCCUCCGUCUUUCCCCUACUUCCUUCCUCUUUGCUUCCUGCCUUUGCUUCCUUUCUCCCACUUCCUCCUUCCCUCACAUCCUAUAUUCACUAAAGGCUUAAGAAACUCCACAAGGAUGAAUACAUGCCUUGCUAUCAGGGAUAUAAAUGUCUCUCCAGCGUCCCCUGACCCUGUGUUUUUUAACUAGCCUUCCCCUCCCUGCUCCUUCGGUCAUAACCUGGACCGUUGAGAAGUUGAAGCAGAUGCUCUCCUGCAAAGAUUCUGGACGCUACCCACAACUCAUUAUCAGUAGACGUAUCAGAGACAUCACACCUGGACAGGUCCCAUUCUCUACAAGAUUAAUGUCACUGCUUGUGGGAGACGCUGCCUUCCCUUCCAGACUCACAGAAGCACAGCUUUGAUAAUUAAUCCUGAUAACACCAACACAGAGACCGACAUACCUGACAUCGUACUCAAGUGACUCGCAGAAAGGAAAAACGUCUCACUUGAACAUGGUAAAAUACUAUGAAAAUGUAUAUUUUGCUAGCUUUCAUGGGAGAAAAUUUGUAUUUUCCCUGGCUGAUUUUCAUUUGGACUUAAGUGUUUGUUUUGAAGGCCAUACAGAAGUGAACCUGGGAGAGAUUAAAUUUUGCCCCCAGUGAAGUCACUAAAUUCAGUGGAUUUUAAUUACUUCUGUCCCCCUGGGCUUUCCCCACCCCACUUCAUUUCUCAGACGUUCC
rnacentral:lncRNA from 1 species